AUGUUACCAAAGGGGUGCCGAAAGGCUGAGAUGCAAUCUGCGAACUCUUUGUACCUGAUCCGGUUAAUACUGGCGUAGGGAUUGGUAAGCAACACACC
rnacentral:ncRNA from 2 species